rnacentral:rRNA from 1 species
CUACACACGUGCUACAAUGGCGUAAACAGAGGGAAGCGAGCCCGCGAGGGGGAGGCGAAUCCCAAAAAUAAACGUCCCAGUUCGGAUUGUAGUCUGCAACCCGACUACAUGAAGCCGGAAUCGCUAGUAAUCGCGGAUCAGAAUGCCGCGGUGAAUACGUUCCCGGGUCUUGUACACACCGCCCGUCAAGCCAUGAAAGCCGGGGGGUACCUGAAGUACGUAACCGCAAGGAGCGUCCUAGGGUAAAACUGGUAAUUGGGGCUAAGUCGUAACAAGGUAAC